rnacentral:lncRNA from 1 species
AUCCAAGGUCUUCUACUCUUCUUAGCAAAAGCUCUCACAGAAGCUUUCAUCUUUUGAUUGGAAUUUGUUGAAUUGCCAUUGAUUAACUCAUCCCUUUUAGUGUCCAAUGCAAGCAACAGAAUCUUAGGUUAAAGCCAGGGCAACAAAGAAAAGAAGAUGGAUAGUCUUUCUGAUUAUCAUUUUCUGCAGGUAGAGGGCACUCACAUAUAACUUCCCAUUUAUCAUCAUCGCGAAUGGAACAACUCCUUGGAUGAGAAAUAUAGCUACUAUUCUACACAAAUUUCCAACCACAAUUGAACUUAUUGGGUCACAAGCUGGAUUUCCUAGUCAUAUGUACAACGAUUGGCGAUGCUCCUACAAUAAUAAGACCAGUAGCUGCAGUGCCAUCCUCUGUCAUGACUGCAACAGAUGUGGGAUCAGGACCACACUAAGCAUAAUCUCUCACUUUCAUUCCCUCUGCAGCUGCUCUUGGCAACAUGAUUUCCCAUUUUCUUCCAUUGGGCUCUAGGAUAAUCCAAUCACACAUCUCUUAAGAGUGUAAAUCACAUGGACAAGCUAGGUACUGUUUUUUGACAACCUGAUUGUCAUCAAGGGAGUACCUCAUGCCUUUUCGGCUUGAAUGUACACAUUAUUUGCAAGACACCUUUUCCACUUACUUUCCAAUGAAAAUUGCAUGCCUAACUACUGAGGACCAAGGAAGCUAGAGCUCACAUUAGAAUCAUUGAAUAUAGGAAAAGGUUUCAAACUCAAAGACAAGGCACUCUGCAAAUUGUUAUCAACCCAACCAAAUUCUUGCUUUGUACUGUCCAUGAAGUGUGAAGGUUGUAUUAGGAUGGAGCUCUUAAAAACAUGACAUGAUGUAAUAGAUUCGAAAUUCCUUAUUUAUUUAAUGAUAUUCCAAUUUCACUUUUAUCUAUCCUUAUUCCAUGUAUUACACUUUAUGAGUAUUCUUGUUUCUUUUGCAGUAUAUGUAACUUGAGUGCAUUUAUGAGUUAUAGGGAAGAUCCAAGUCAUGGGUUCCUUGCAAAUAGAUGACUUGUUCAAAAUCGGUUUGUGGGUUUAGAUAACUUAUUAGAGACUAUAGUGCGCCACCACCUUCUAAUUGAGGGAUAACUGGUCUUUAAUAUCGAGAUGAGUUUUCCAUGGUGAGUACACUAGUGUGUAUGGUUACACAUUGGACAGGACUUAUGGUGAGUCAUGACUUAAGGUUAUUAAGUAUUUGUGACCUUAUCAAACUACUUCAUUGUGUUGUCUCUCAACCUUGAGAGAAUAUUGAGUUUGUGCCAAAGUUAGCAAUGACUUUGACCUAUGGGUGAGAUCGUAAGUUGAUAAUAUAUUCUUUAUGGAUUGGAUCACUAUUGAUGGAAGUUGGUGGCAAUAGGUAUUCUGAAUAGAAGCACCAUGAUAUCUCAUAGGAUUGAGACAAUGUGUCCCCUUAGGUGGUUCUAAGGAGGUGUGUUCAUGGAAACUAUGGUUAUUUUAGUUUCUUAAGUAGAACUUGACAUAAACUCUUUGAGAGUUAAGACAUGUUAGUCGAACACAUAAUGAAAGGAUCUGUAACUCAAUGAUAAUAGAGGUAGUCUUAAAAGACUGACAAUUUUUACCUUGUUAGAUUACGAACAUUAGUUCAUAGGGAGACUGAACACAAUUGAUAACAAGUCACAAACCCGAGUACACAAUGUCUCGUUGUUAUUUACAUAAGAUAUUGGAGUUAUGGUCCCCGGUUUGAGCUCAUAUAUCUUGUUGGCAUAGGUUAUGAGGGUGUGAUUGGUUUUAGGUUCACUUUUAUACAUAAGGGUCUUUUGGUAAUUACAUAAGAUUGUACAAGGAUAAGUGAACAAGGUCUUUGGAUUAAGCUAAUUAAUUAAUUAAUUAAUACUAUUAGGUUAAUUAAUCAAUUAGGAUACAAUUUGAGAUAGAUUAAUUAACCAAAGCCCAUGUGAGCUUAACUCACUUAAGCCUAGUUAGGAACCCUAUAAAUACCCAUAGGGGUUAGGGUUUCUAUCACUUGUAUCUUCCACCAUCAUCCAGAGAGAAAAAUGAGACAUAGUCUAUUGGUUGAUACUUCUAUAUUCUAAAAAGUCAAGCCACUCCACUUCUCUUGUAUUCUAGUACCGCUAUUGGAAACUUCAACAACAACAGACUAUAGAAGAGCACCCUAGCUCCCAUUAUUAAUAGAAUGAAAUGUGUUCAUGUAACUUGCAUGUUCCCAUGCAUUACCAAAGCUCCAAUGCCAUGUCAAUGCACUUGCAAAAAUAAGAAUCCCAAUUAUCAUCCAUAUCGAACAUAAUCUUCUCUUCUAUUGGAUCUAGGGUGGACAAACUUGGAGAAGGGUCCAUUUGUAUUGCCUUUUUCUUAUGAGUACCCAAGCUAACCUGGUCACUCUUGUUUCCUAUUGAAUUCCCGACCUUACAUUUCUUUGUAAAGCCUUUCCUAAUGGGAGUUUUAUGAUAGAACCCUACUAUUAAAAUCUUGAAUGGGAAUUUGGCCAAAGAAGUUCCUCCCCUAAAAUCCUUGCUCUGCUAUGAAAAUAACAUCUGACGUGUGAUCUUGCUCCUGAGGUGCAAUGUCUAGAAAGGCAUUACUGUAACUAGAUGGUAGCAUUGGAGGCUUCUCGUGCACUAGCAACAGGAGUAUCAUACAAAAAUGCAUCAAGCUGUUGCAGACCCAGACCCAGACCCAUUGAGUCGUUCUAUGACGACCCGUUGCUGAUUGGAACUUGCUAACUUGUUUUCUCAAACAUCCACGAUUGCUCUAGUGUUCUUUGUCUCGUGGAAAUGAAUACUCAAAUGGUGCCCAAAUUACAAACGAGAAUAUAGAAGAAAAAAAAAACAAGAGGUCUCCAAAGCUCCAUUUCACACUUUCUCAAUGGGCAUAAAGGAAACCGGUGGAGAACCUAAAGAAUAGAUGAACCCAGAUUUAUGCAUAUUUUGAUACAAAACCACAUAAACAAUAGAUGAAAUAGUAUAUCCAUACAUAAAUUAGAAAACAAUAUUCAAUAAAAUGAAAAUGAAACACAUUAUUAUAAAUGAAGAUGAAUAGGGAACUCAAAAUAUCCAUCCCUGGAAGGGUCCCCUCUGCUUCUCUUCUCUUGAUGCUAUUCUCAUAGUUCAAAGUCACGAAAUCGGUGAUUGACUCGGGAGGUCCUAAGGCACAUCGUUCUCGGUAUCUCGGAUCGGUAUCGGGUGAUAUGCAAAAAAUUCUAAUUUAAGAGCUCAAAAUAAUUUUUAAAAAUUAUGAAAAUUAUUAAAAAAUCAAAUACAAAUAAGUAGAGUAAAAAAUUAAUAAAAUAAACUUCUAUUAUAUUAAAAUUAUUCAAAUUAUAAUAAAAACAUACUUUUGGGAUGAUUUAUAAUAAUAUUAAAAAUCUCUAAAAAUAUUUUAAUUUAAUCACUUGAUAAUAAAUGUUUCUAUUGAAGAUGCAAAUAAUAAAAAGUAAAUUUUUUUUUUAUAAAAAAUUGUUUAAAUUAAAUAUUUUGAAUUUUUAAAAAUAUUUUCAAUUAUUAAAAAAAAUAAAACCAUGAUUCAUCUUUAAAAAAAUAAAUAUAUUUUUUCUUAUAAAAUAUAUUCAUUAAUUUUAAUUUUUAUAUAAAUAUUCAUUUCCUAUUUAUUUGAUAUAAGUCUAAUAUUCAUUAUUCAUUUUUUAUCAUUAUAAUUUUCAUCAAAUUAUUUAAAACCCAAAUCCCCACCAAAUACUCAUUAUCUACUUAAAAAACAAAUACAUAUUUAAAACCCAAUUUCUCAUCUCUGUUAGAUACCCAUAACCCCCAUCCACCCGUCAAACACUUAUCUCUCUCAAGAUACCCAUUUCUCCUCUAAACCCACAACUCCCUAUUUCUCUGCAAAAUACCACAACUUCUUGUUUCUCUGCAUAAUACCCAUUUUUGAAGAGUUUUUAGACCAAAUACAAAAUAUCUUUAUGAAGAUACAAAAAUAUGAAGAUGUUCUAACUCUUUAUAUUUUUCAUUUUCGUGGGUUUUGAUCCUCUCAUCUUCUUCACAAUUUCUACUCCAAUAUUACUUUUUUUUCCAUUACCAAUUACCCAAAUAGCUUAGUCUCAACAUGAUUUUGGAGUUGUCUCAAAGUUUUCAUAAGAGUUACUUUGAGAUUGUUCAUUUAUCUUCAAUUCAACCGAAUUUAUUCACAAGCUGACAAAAUAUCCAACUCUGGUAUUGGCCUAGUAUUGACCAUGGUCGAGGCGGAUACAACUUGGCCGAGUUGUACUGGCCUCAAUCGAGAUUUUGAACCCUACCAACAAGCCCCCUCCAAGAAAACUUGAGCCAAAAGAGUGAAAAAGGCCCCUUCACUAAAGGCGAAAAAGCCUUUAAAAGAAACAAAGGAAGGCUAGAAUGAGUGUACACGUGUCCUCAUCCCAACCCAGCUACUCAAAGGCUCUAAAAUUCCAAAAACAAACCUUAAAAAAAACUAAUCCUAAUGAGCAUCCGGUAAUCCUGCUAGGACCUGAAAUAGCCCUUUAAGUGGCCUCCAAAAUAUAACUCAAAAAUCAAUAAUGAGAAACAUGGACCACUAAGGGAUGAUGAAAAACCGAGCAAAAAUGGAUUUAAACACAUGCUAAAAAAAGAGUGGGGUGAGAGAAAAAAUAAUAAUAAUAAAAUAUGUGUGUUAGGGCCAAAAUAGAGGGUCUAUAGUGUUUUUGCUAAAUAAUAAAAACCUAUUUGAGCAUAUGAUUUACAAACAAAUUUGUUUUUAAAAAAAUUGUAUCACUCUUUGAUUAUUGUGCUCUAUAAACAAAACAAAACAAAAACCAUUUUUUUUUACUAGAGAUUCAAAUUAAGGAAGACUUUUUAUUAAAUUUAUUAAUAAGUUUAAUAAUUUUUUAAAAGAAAAUUUGAAACUCAAAAAAUAUAUAUAAGGAUUAUAAAAAAUAAUGGAAAUAAUUAAUAUUUUGAAUUCUUUAAUAAACAUUUUAAUUUUUAAUAAUAAUUUGAAAUUCAUAAAACUAAUUUAUUAAUUAUAAAUUAAAUAAAAAAUUUAAGAAUACCAUGUUUGAGUAUUAAAUGUAUGUAUGUAAUGAAAAAUUUGACUCAUUUAUACUUAAAAAAUUAAAAUUUAUUUAAUUUUAAAUUCAUUUAAAAUAAAUUAGUAUUAGCAAUUAUUAAUUUUGAAUUAUUAUUAUUAUUAUUUAUUAACAAAAUAAAUCAAUUAUGUUUUCAUAUUUUUAUAAUAUUUAUAAAAAUAUAAUUUGUGAUUUUAUUAUAAUAUUACUAUUAAUAUUUUAUUUAAAAUAUUUAUUUUUAAUUUUUUAAUAAAAAAUAUUUUUUAUUUUUAAUAAGGCACAAAUUAAAUUUAGUUUAUAUCAUAUAACUUGAAUUUACAAUUUGUUUCUUAUAAAAUCAAAAUAAAAAAUUAUUUUUAAAAACAACUUAUCAAUAAAAGGUUUAGAUUUUAAAAUUUUUGAAAAAUAUCUUUAAAAAUAAAUUGUAUUAUAGAAUCAAAGUACCUCCUACUAAGUAUAAGAUGAAAUAUCAUUUAUAAGUAAAAUUUCAUUUCCUUUGAAAUUAUUUUUAUAUCAUUAUCAUCAACACUUGAGUUAUCUAAAUAUAGAAAUGAAUGUGAAAAGGAAUAACAUAUCUAUUCUCACUCUUCAUUCCCACAUAUCAAACAUAACCUCAAGAUAUGACCAUUUAGUUUUGUUUACAUCAUUUUCUUUAAAAGAGAAAAUAAAAAUAAAUAAAUAAAAAAAUUAAAAAAAUGGAUCCUAGUUUGUAGGUACUUGAAAUAAAGAUGGAUUUUAGUCUCAAAUUAAUAUAAAAUAUAUAUUUUAACAAUUAGAUUUUAAACAUCUUUUAAGUGUGUGAUAAUAAAGCGUUUAAUGGAACUAGCACGCAUGAAUGGUAGUUAUUUCAUAUAAAAUAAUGCAAAACAUGCCUUUAUUAUUAUUAUUAUUAUUAUUUUUAAUUUCUUGUGUCUUUUUUUUUCACCAACAAAUAUUUAAGAAAAGAAAUUCUUUUUCUUUUGACCUUUUCUACCCACACAACAUUUCCUUGGAUAAAUAUUAAUAAAAUAUUGUUUUAUAUUAAUAUUAAGAUAAUAGAAAACAAUAUUUACAAAUUAUAGAUGUAAAUUGUUCUAUUGUGCAUUGCAAUAUUAUAUUUUUAUUUUCUUGGGGUGAAAUAGGAAGUUUCUUUUUUUGACAAUAAUUUUUAUUUUUCUCUAAACAAUUAUGUCCAUAUAAAAUAAUUUUGUGAAAAAUCACAAUAAGGAAUAAAUGAUUUAAAAAUGUAUACAAUUCUAACCAAUUUCAAUUAUAUUUAUUUAUUUUUUUCAUAUUUUUCACAAUGAAACCAAACAUGAUAAAGCCAUUUUUCUUGAUAUUUUUUUUAUUUUUUCCUUGGUACUUUUGGGGAACCAAACAUAAGUUUAAUGCUUUAGGAGGUGAAAAAAAAAAUUGUAGCGCAAUCCACAAUUAACUAGGAUAUAUACUUGUUCCCAUGUGCUUGGUACAAGGCACCAAGUAUAAUUAUAUGAAAUCCUCAAUCUACUGCAUAAGAUUCAAUUUUAUAAAGUUCUUGCUACUGAUAUAGGUAAACAACAAUUUAUAUAUGCUUGAAUUAAUUCCUUAAGUCAAUGGUUAACACCCAUGACAUAUUUUUAGUUCCUUGAUGAUUAUGUUAUAAUAUGAACAUUUUAAAAGCAUGAUUCUAGCUUCAUUAGCAUGAACUACAUCUAAUGAUAUGUGAUUCCCUAUCACUAUGUUUGGUUCCAAGGAAGAAAAAUCCUCAUGAAAAGGAUUUUCUCAUGAAAAAAAUCCAAGAAAUUAUGAAGGACCAUGAAAAUGAUUCUUGGAAAUCAAACACAACCUCGUGAAAUAUACUUGCAUUAAUAAUUAUAUUAUUUGUUUGUUGUACUAUAUUUAUGAAAUUGAAAUCUUGCUUUUUAUAAUUUAUCUUUAGGUGGAAACCCUAAGGACAAUGAGGAGAAGUUAAUCUCAAGAUGCAAGUGUGAUUCUGAAUGUUGCUAAGGUGGUCUACUCUUGCAUAUGAAGUUAAUCUCAAGAUGCAAGUGAGAUUCUGAAUGUUGCUAAGGUGGUCUACUCUUACAUAUGAUCAGUCUCGCUUAUUUUCAUGACCAUAAGGAAAGAUGCUACAUUGAAAGUGUGAAUUAGGAAUGUUGAAAAAUGAAAACUUGAAUUGAUAUAUGUUUUUGCCUCUAAGAUGUGUGGUUAUAGGCAAUUUUCGUGGGUAUGUAAUUAACCUUAAUGUUGCAUAUGAAGCAUAUCACCCUCUAUAUAUCUUUUUAACUGGUUGGAGCUCUUAUAGAAGGUGAAAGACAAGUGUCACAUAUUUAAGUAUUUCUAAAACUCUCAUGCGGUACUUAGAUAAUUCAAGUCGCUUGAAAUUACUAAGUCCUUUAGGUUGUGAAAAAGGUCUCUAUCACAUUUCGCACAUAUUAUGACCAUCACAUUUUAACUCAAGUGUUUAUUUUAAAAUACUUUUGCAUUAAACUCCUUUCCGAAAGCAUUAAAUUAAUACCAUUCUCUAAUCUUCCACGACUUGGUUUGUCAACUUCGGGUUAUUACCCUCUAGAGCCAACUUUCAACUUAAUCAAUCCAACACAAUUGUUAUUGAUUCAUGGUUAAUUAACAAAUUCUCUAAUGUUAUGAUUGGUUUUUGAAAAAUUGGAGGCAAAAGAAAAUAAAGAGAAAAAGUAGAAGAAAAUGAAAUAUGAAGGAAUAUAAAAAUUUAUAUUUAAAGUUAAUAAAUUAUUCUUAUUUUUUAUUUUAAACCCAUUUCACAUACAUAUUAUUUUAAUAAUAUUUUUUUUUCUAUUUUCCAUGGAGAUGCCAAACAUUAAAAAAUUAUUUUCCUUAAUAUUGUUUGGGAAUUAAACAUAACCUAAUUACUUAUCAUUGUGUAAAUAGCUUAAGAUACCAAUAAUACUAUUGUUGUUGUGAGAAUAGUUUAAGAUACUAAUAAUACUUCUUAAUAGAUACCAUAUACGUGUGUGGAAUAUUCAUGGUUCAAUAUUGUCACUACCUUACAAUUGUGGACUCCAAUUGAAUAUUAUGUGUUAGCCCAAGGGUUCUCCUAAUCGGGUUUUGAUGAUAACAAACCAUGGUUAAGUGACUAAUUGUUUUAAAUGGUAAAGAAUCUCAGGUAUAAAUUCGGAAAUUCAUCCAAUGACCAAAUGGAUACAAGAUCGAGACUAUUGGAAGUCCCUUGAUCAUAGGAAACAAAUGUAAGAUGAAUGCAUGGGUGCACUUAAGGUUUUCAUACCACUUCAUGCAUCUUUGAAAAACUCGGUUUAUCCUUUAAACUUUCAAAUUCAUUAAAACCCAAGUUUUUAUCAAAUGUACCUUAGACAAAAUGUUUUAAAUUGGCAUAUUAAUUCACCUAAAGACCUUGCCUAAGUAUUAGAAAAGAAAUGAAUUUAAAAAGGUUGGCUUUCAGGGCCAAAAGGCUGAACCGGUCGAGGCUAUGACCAACUGGCUCAACCAGUUGGGGAACCGGUCGACCGGUUGCCCUUGUCCGAUCAAGGUUUGGUUGAGGAGUGUCAAAAACACUCUCUCUCAUCCAGUAGCAUUCUCUUCCCGGUUGAGGUUCACCCCCUUCCCUAUCGAGGUCCGAUCGAGGUUCGGUCGAGGCAACGGUAACCUGUCAAAGCAUUUAAUGCCUAACGGUUAGUGAUCGGGUCGACCCUUAGCUCGAUCGGUCGAGGGUACCUUUUGCUGUUUUUGACUCCCGAGCUUAGAAACCUAUAAAUUGAGAGCUCCACUUCAUUUAUGAAUAGAGAGAACACUUGCAAUCAAUUGUCUACCUACAUGUUCUUGAUCAAAAAGCUCUCAUUUCUUUCUUAGUGCAUUAAAUCAUCACUUGCAUACUCCUUAGUGCACCUUUGUGAGUCAUCCUAGCCUUGUUUUGUAUUUGAUCUAUCUUUGAUCUAGGUUGAGUGUUUCAUUCUUGUAAAAACCAAGUGUUUAAGCCUUCAAGAGGUGUGAUUCUUGAAGAGAUUGUGUAAGAGCCCAUUGGAGCCGGAAUCCAAGUGUAAGAAGAUUAGAAACUUGGUUGAAGCUUCAAGUUAGUGGAACCCUCACUCGGUUAGGAGAUUGAGGAGAGUGGACGUAGGCAAGGAAGUGUCGAACCACUAUAAAACCUGAGUUUGAAUUCUCUAACUCUAUCUCUUUACUUUCGUUUAUAUUGUGCUUGAACUUGUUGUGAUUGAAAAGAUUUUUUAAAAACCCAAUUCACCCCCCUCUUGGGUGUUUUUCUUAAUUAAGCAUAACCUUUAUUUUCUCAUUAUGAAUUAAUGAUGCGAUCUUUCUUCAAACAAAUAUUGUCAGUUAAGUUAAAAUGGUUGAAUUAUUUCAAUAGGUCAAACCUCAAUAUUCCAAAUAUUUCUACUUAGAUUAAUUAAGGUCUUCAUGAGUUGACUUUAAUUCUUUGCUUCUAAAUUUCAUCUCUUAAGGUAUCUUAGAUGCUUCCCUGUUUUACUUAGUCUUGUAAUUGAUUAGGAGAUUAUUGUAGACCAAAUGAUAUGCAAAUUAUUUCUUUUAUAGAUGUUUUUCACUUGCUUUAGAGCUAAGAUUUUAUAAACUAGUUUUUGUCUUCUUUUUUUUUUUAACUUUUUAUUUUCUUAUUCUAGAACACCCCAAAUAUAUAUUGUCAUGAACUUUCAAGGAAUAAAGUCAUUUGGUUUUUAUUGUGUUAUUUUCUUUAAAAGAGAAACUAAAAAGGGAAAGAUCCUAGUAUGUAGUUGAAAUAAAGAAGGAUUUUGGUCUAAAAUUAACAUAAAAAAAUAUUUUGACAAUGUGAUUUUAAAUAUCUUUUAGGCGGUGUUUGGCAAACUAACUUAAUAAUUUAAUAUAAAUUAAUAGCUUAAUUUGUUAUUAAGUAGAUUAACCAUGUUUGGUAAAAUAACAUAAUAUUAUAACAUAAAGUUAGUAUUAAGCCAAAAUAAUCAACUUGAUGAUGUUUGAUAAAUUGAUUUAAUGACUUAAUAUGACUUAAUAACUUAAUUUAAGUCAUUGAAAAGAUUAAGCAUGAUUGGUAAAAUAACUUAAUAUUACAAUUUGAAGUAAUAAUCCAAAAGGGUUAAUUUCAUUGAGACCUUAUGAGGUUUGCUGCAAAUGCACCCGACCAUCAUUGGUUUCAAAUUUCAUCAAUUGGCACAUCUAUAAAUUUAUUUCAUUUAUUUUUUGAGAAAUCUCAGGUAAAACUAUUUUAGAUAUGAGUUUUUAACAAUUCACUAAAACCUAAAUUUUAUUCUUUUAAAAAUAAAAUUUAUAUAUAAAAUACAUUUACAAAGGUGCUAACUAAUGAAAUUUAAAACCUACGGUAAACUUGAAGGAGCCUCAAUAAAAUUAACCUAAGUCAAAAUAGUGAACUUAUUUUUAAUCUCAAAUCCUUUUUACCUUAUUUGCCUAAAUUUAUGAUUUAUUUUUUAUAAUAAAUAUUUUAUGAUUGUAUUAUGCACAAUACUUUAAAUAUGAAUAUUUAAUAAAAAAAUUUAUUAUCUAAGAUUAGUGAAAAUAUAGAUAUUAGUUAAAAUUAAUAGGGGUAAAUAGGUCAAUUUGACAACAUAGAAUAAAUCUUAAAUUAACUUUACCAAAUAAUUUUAAUACUUAAGGAAAAAAAAUAAGUAAUAAAUUUUAAGUUAACAACUUAAGAACCAUUUAACUUAAACUCAACUUAAGUUGUUAAGUAAUAAGUGUUAAGUUUUACCAAAUAAAGCUUUUAAAGGAAUUAUUAAAUCAAAAGACAAAUAUUAAAAUAUAAAAAAUGAGAAAGAAAAAAAAUAUAAAAAGGAACAUGCACAAUGCAAAUAGAACAACAGUGCAAAACAUCUAUUUUUAUUUGUUUUUUUUUUAAAUCUCUCUCCCUCACUCUCUCUCUCUCUCCAAUAACAAAUAUUUAAGAAAAAAAUAUAUGAUGGUACAACAAACUUAAGAUAAUUCAUAACAUCAAUAAUAUAAUACAAAAUUGAUAUAUAGGUCUCUUUUCUUUGUCCUUUUACCUUUUCUACCCCCACACAACCUUUUGGUGCCAUAAAUAUAACUAAAAAAUUAUUUUAAUAUUAAGAUGACAAAAACUAAUAUUUAAAAAAUUAUAGAUUUUCAUCUUUCCCAAGAAAAAUUUGAAAACACGAAAUUUAUGUUUUUAGAUUUCCUAUUUUUAAAACUCUAGUUACUGAAAAAUUGAUUUAUGUUUUCCUUUAUAUAGUUUUCAUUUUUGAAAAGUAUUUUCACUUCUUUUGAUUUAAGACAUUUUCAAGAUAAGAAAAAAAGAAGAAGCUAAUUUUAGAAAAUGAAAAUAAAAUAAAGAGAUUGUGGACCCCGCAUUUUUCACAAUGCGUUCCCACUCGAUGGCGAUUCACUUUUUUAUUUAUUUAGUGAAAAAUUUUGAUUUUUAGAAAAAUACUUGAAGCAUAUUUCACAGGAGCGGGUGAGGGCUUGGUUGACUCAUACACCGUUUGAUUAUCCUAUUCGCCCAUACACCAUGAGCCUAGUUGAUUACUUCGUGAGGGCGUCGGAGCCACUGACCCAAUCAGACGGGAUCAUUGGGGGACUUAGUACCACUCAGGAGGCCGAGCUUCAGCACCUCGUUCGCCAACUACAUUUGAGUGAUGGAGCCCCUGGUACUUCAUCAUCUGUGUAGACCGCCCAUGCCUCUCCAGACCGCAUAAGCCUUAUGAUGCUCUAUUUCCCUGAUGAGAUCAACGAGCACGGGACAUUUGCUGAGGUAGGAAAUAUAGUAGAUGGAGCCACCCCACAUGAUGAGUACGUCGAUGAGAUGCUCGCAAUGAUCUUAGGUCAAAUCGAGGAUGUAGUUCAGCCGAGGCUCGCCUCACCGUUCGAUCUUUUCGAGGUGUCCAUCAUCGAGAUUGCUGAGGAGAUCCGGACUUCCCCUGCUCCAGAGUCUGCUGAGGAUGUCAUAGCUAGUGAUGAUUUGUCUGAUGGACAUGUUGGCUUUGUUGAGGGAGCGUCCAACUUUGUAGACCCACCUAUUUCCUUUGAUGUUUUAUAGGGAUUUGUCUCCCGUUUUGACGAUGUUCAUGACUCUUUAUUUAUGGAUUUGAGCAUUUUCGAGUAUCUGCCUAUCUCUUGUGAUAUUAUUUUAUCUGCACCAUCUUCACCCACGUCACAGAUAUUUGACAUUGAUGAUGAGAUUGUGCAACAUGAUUCAGACGAUGACUCAUUCUUCGUUUUCGAUUCGGAUCCCAUUGAUCAGAGAGUUGCACCUGUCCCAAGGGACACGGAGGUUGUUGAUUUCGACACAGCAGACCAACCUAGGGAGUUGAGGAUCGGGUCGGAUUUGUCUACAGAUCAGAAAGAUAGCCUCACCCAACUGCUCAUAUCAUACUUGGACAUUUUCGUAUGAUCCUAUGACGACAUGCUGGGCCUUGAUCCAUUUAUUGUCUAGCAUCGUUUGUCAUUUCUGCCCCAUGCCAGACCGGUUAAGCAGAAGUUGAGACGAUUGCACCCUCGUUGGAGCUUGCAAGUGAAUGAGGAGAUUCAAAAGCAGCUUAGUGUGGGAUUUCUAUCAGUGGUCGAGUACCCGGAGUGGAUGGCCAAUGUAGUCCCUAUUCCCAAAAAGGACUGCAAGGUGAGAGUCUGUACAUUGACAUGCUAAGGAUCCGAGAUCUCAAUAAGGCCAGUCCUAAGGAUGAUUUUCCUCUCCCGUACAUUGACAUGCUAGUUGACAGUACAGUAGGUCACUCGAUGUUGUCCUUUAUGGACAGAUUUUUCGGGUACAGUAAGAUCUUGAUGGCUCCAGAGGAUAUGGAGAAGACGUCCUUCAUUACCGAGUGGGGUACUUAUUGCUAUAGAGUUAUGCCAUUCGAAUUGAAGAACGCAAGAGACACCUAUCAGAGAGCAGCAACCACCCUCUUCCAUGACAUGAUACAUCGGGAUGUCGAGGUUUAUGUAGACGACAUGAUAGUGAAAUCCUGAGAUAGAUCAGAUAAUCUAAUAGCUCUAGAAAGAUUCUUUGAGAGGAUCAGGCAGUUCAGGUUGAGACUAAAACCCAAAAAAUGCACUUUUGGAGUGACUUCUGGGAAACUCUUGGGAUAUAUGGUCAGUGAGAGAGGCAUAGAGGUAGAUCUGGAUAAGAUCAGAGCCAUCCUUGACAUGCCUACACCGAGGACAGAGAGAGAGGUCAGAGGCUUCUUGGGUAGACUUCAGUAUAUCAGCAGAUUCAUUGCUAGAUUGACAGACAUCUGUGAGCCCAUUUUUCGACUCUUGAGGAAGAGACAACCUGUUGUUUGGGAUGAUCAAUGUCAACGCGCGUUUGAGAGGAUCAGAGAGUACUUGUUGUCUCCUCCAGUCUUGGCGCCUCCUACACCAGGUUGUCCUUUACUCCUAUACCUAUCCAUCUCAAACGUAGCAUUGGGUUGCAUGUUGGCUUGCUCGAUGAUUUGGGCAAAGACUGAGCCAUUUAUUAUCUGAGUAAGAGGAUGCUAGAUUAUGAGAUGAGAUAUGCCAUGAUUGAGAGCUAUUGCUUGGCAUUGCUUUGGGUCACUCACCGACUGAGACAUUACAUGACCGAGUAUUUAGUACAUUUGAUAUCCUGUUUAGAUCCUUUAAGAUACUUGUUUGACAGACCCGCCUUGGUUGGUCGCCUCAUGAGAUGGUUGGUACUUCUGACUGAGUUUGACAUCCAUUAUGUCACUCAAAAGUCCAUCAGAGGGAGCAUUAUUGUAGAUCACUUAGCCUCAUUACCAGUUUCUGAUGGUAUAGCUAUUGAUGAUGAUUUUCUAGACAAGGAUGUUGCUGCUGUGACUAGUCUAUCAGGUUGGUGCAUGUACUUUGAUGGUACAACCAACCAUUCUAGAUACGGGAUAGGCGUCUUGUUGAUAUCCCUUAUGGUGAUCACAUUCCCAGAUCUGUUCGUUUGACAUUCUCAGAUCGACAUCCGGCCACGAACAACAUUGUUGAGUAUGAAGCCUAUAUCUUGGGAUUAGAGACAGCCAUUGAGCCUAGGAUUAGACAGAUGGAGGUGUUUGGCGACUCCAAUCUGGUAUUGAGAUAGAUUCAGGGUGAGUGGAAGACUAGAGAUGCGAAGCUUAGGCCCUAUCACUAUGUUUGGUUCCAAGGAAGAAAAAUCCUCAUGAAAAGGAUUUUCUCAUGAAAAAAUCCAAGAAAUUAUGAAGGAGCAUGAAUAUGAUUCUUAGAAAUCAAACACAACCUCGUGAAAUAUACUUGCAUUAAUAAUUAUAUUAUUUGUUUGUUGUACUAUAUUUAUGAAAUUGAAAUCUUGCUUUUUAUAAUUUAUCUUUAGGUGGAAACCCCAAGGACAAUGAGAAGAGGUUAAUUUCAAGAUGCAAGUGAGAUUCUGAAUGUUGCAUUAACAACAUUGUUGAGUAUGAGGCCUAUAUCUUGGGAUUAGAGAUAGCCAUUGAGCCCGGGAUUAGACGGAUGGAGGUGUUUGGCGACUCUAAUCUAGUAUUGAGACAGAUUCAGGGUGAGUGGAAGACUAGAGAUGCGAAGCUUAGGCCCUAUCACUAUGUUUGGUUCCAAGGAAGAAAAAUCCUCAUGAAAAGGAUUUUCUCAUGAAAAAAUCCAAGAAAUUAUGAAGGACCAUGAAAAUGAUUCUUGGAAAUCAAACACAACCUCGUGAAAUAUACUUGCAUUAAUAAUUAUAUUAUUUGUUUGUUGUACUAUAUUUAUGAAAUUGAAAUCUUGCUUUUUAUAAUUUAUCUUUAGGUGGAAACCCCAAGGACAAUGAGAAGAAGUUAAUUUCAAGAUGCAAGUGAGAUUCUAAAUGUUGCUAAGGUGGUCCACUCUUGCAUAUGAAGUUAAUCUCAAGAUGCAAGUGAGAUUCUUAAUGUUGCUAAGGUGGUCUACUCUUACAUAUGAUUAGUCUCGCUAACGUUCAUGACCAUAAGGAAAGAUGCUACAUUGAAAGUGUGAAUUCGGAAUGUUGAAAAAUGAAAACUUGAAUUGAUAUAUGUUUUUGCCUAUAAGAUGUGUGGUUAUAAGCAAUUUUUGUGGGUAUGUAAUUAACCUUAAUGUUGCAUAUGAAGCAUAUCACCCUCUAUAUAUCUUUUUAACUGGUUGGAGCUCUUAUAGAAGGUGAAAGGCAAGUGUCACAGAUUUAAGUAUUUCCGAAACUCUCAUGCGGUACUUAGAUAAUUCAAGUCGCUUGAAAUUACUAAGUCCUUUAGGUUGUGAAAAAGGUCUUUAUCACAUUUCGCACAUAUUAUGACCAUCACAUUUUAACUCAAAUGUUUAUUUUAAAAUACUUUUGCAUUGAACUCCUUUCCAAAAGCAUUAAAUUAAUACCAUUCUCUAAUCUUCCAUGGCUUGGUUUGUCAACUUCAGGUCAUUACCCUCUAGAGCCAACUUUCAACUUAAUCAAUCCAACACAAUUGUUAUUGAUUCAUGGUCAAUUAACAAAUUCUCUAAUGUUAUGAUUGGUUUUUGAAAAUUUUGAUGAAAAGAAAAUAAAGAGAAAAAAAUAUAAGAAAAGGAAAUAUGAAGGAAUAUAAAAAUUUAUAUUUAAAGUUAAUAAAUUAUUCUUAUUUUUUAUUAUAAACCCAUUUCACAUACAUAUAAUUUUAAUAAUAUUUAAUUUUUUUUUCUAUUUCCAUGGAGAUGCCAAACAUUAAAAAAUUAUUUUCCUUAAUAUUGUUUGGGAAUUAAACAUAACCUAAUUACUUAUCAUUGUGCAAAUAGCUUAAGAUACCAAUAAUAUUAUUGUUGUUGUGAGAAUAGUUUAAGAUACUAAUAAUACUUCUUAAUAGAUACCGUAUACGUGUGUGGAAUAUUCAUGGUUCAAUAUUGUCACUACCUUACAAUUGUGGACUCCAAUUGAAUAUUAUGCAUUAAUGAUGUGAUCUUUCUUCAAACAAAUAUUGUCAAUUAAGUUAAAAUGGUUGAAUUAUUUCAAUAGGUCAGACCUCAAUAUUCCAAAUAUUUCUACUUAGAUUUAUUAGGGUCUUCAUGAGUUGACUUUAAUCCUUUGCUUCUAAAUUUCAUCUAUUAAGGUAUCUUAGAUGCUUCCCUGUUUUACUUAGUCUUGUAAUUGAUUAGGAGAUUAUUGUAGACCAAAUGAUAUGCAAAGUAUUUCUUUUAUAGAUGUUUUUUUCACUUGCUUUAGAGCUAAGAUUUUAUAAACUAGUUUUUGUCUCUCUUUUUUUAACUUUUUAUUUUCUUAUUCUAGAACACCCCAAUUAUAUCUUGUCAUGAACUUUCAAGGAAUAAAGUCAUUUGAUUUUGAUUGUGUUAUUUUCUUUAAAAGAGAAACUAAAAAGAGAAAUAUCCUCCUAGUAUGUAGUUGAAAUAAAGGAGGAUUUUGGUCUAAAAUUAACAUAAAAAUAAAAAUAAAAAUUGACAAUGUGAUUUUAAAUAUCUUUUAGGCAGUGUUUGGUAAACUAACUUAAUAAUUUAAUGUAACUUAAUAGCUUAAUUUGUUUUUAAUUAGAUUAACCAUAUUUGGUAAAAUAACAUAAUAUUAUAACAUAAAGUUAGUAUUAAGCCAAAAUAAUCAACUUGAGGAUGUUUGAUAAAUCGAUUUAAUGAUUUAAUAACUUAAUUUAAGUCAUUGAAAAGAUUAAGCAUGGUUGGUAAAAUAACUUAAUAUUACAAUUUAAAGUAAUAAUCCAAAAGGGUUAAUUUCAUUGAAACCCCAUGAGGUUUGCUGCAAAUACACCCGACCAUCAUUGGUUUCAAAUUUCAGCAAUUAGCACACCUAUAAAUUUAUUUCAUUUAUAAAAUUUAUCUUUUGAGAAAUCUCAGGUAAAACUAUUUUAGAUAUGAGUUUUUAAUAAUUCACUAAAACCUAAAUUUUAUUCUCUAAAAAAUAAAAUUUAUAUAUAAAAUACAUUUACAAGGGUGCUAACUGACGAAAUUUGAAACCUACGGUAAACCUGAAGGAGCCUCACUAAAUUUAACCUAAGUCAAAAUAGUGAACUUAUUUUUAAUCUCAAAUCUCACCUUAUUUGCCUACAUUUAUGAUUCAUUUUUUAUAAUAAAUAUUUUAUGAUUGUAUUAUGUACAAUACUUUAAAUAUGAAUAUUUAAUAAUUUUUUUUUAUUAUUUAAGAUUAGUGAAAAUAUAGUUAUUAGUUAAAAUUAAUAGGGGUAAAUAAGUCAAUUUGACAACUUAGAAUAAAUCUUAAAUUAACUUUACCAAAUAAUUUUAAUACUUAAAAAAAAAAGUAAUAAGUUAACAACUUAAGAACUAUUUAACUUAAAGUCAACUUAAGUCAUUAAGUAAUAAGUGUUAAGUUUUACCAAAUAAAGCUUUUAAAGGAAUUAUUAAAUCAAAAGACAAAUAUUAAAAUAUAAAAAAUGAGAAAGAAAAAAAAUAUAAAAAGGAACAUGCACAACGCAAAUAGAACAAUAGUGCAAAACAUCUCUUUUUAUUUGUUUUUUUAAAUCUCUCUCUCUCUCUCUCUCUCUCUCCAACAACAAAUAUUUAAGAAAAAAAUUAUUGGAUGGUACAACAAACUUAAGAUAAUUUAUAACAUCAAUAAUAUAAUACGAAAUUAAUAUAUAGGUCUCUUUUCUUUGUCCUUUUACCUUUUCUACCCCAACACAACCCUUUUGGUGCCAUAAAUAUAACUAAAAAAUUAUUUUAAUAUUAAGAUGACAUAAACUAAUAUUUAAACAAUUAUAGAUUUUCAUCUUUCUUAAGAAAAAUUUGAAAACAAGAAAUUUAUGUUUUCAUAUUUUCUAUUUUUAAAACCCUAGUUACUAAAAAAUUGAUUUAUGUUUUCCUUUUUAUAGUUUUCAUUUUUGAAAAACUAUUUUCACUUCUUUUGAUUUAAGACAUUUUCAAGAUAAGGAAAAAAGAAGAAACUAAUUUUAGAAAAUGAAAAUAAAAUAAAGACAUUAUGAACCUUGUAUUUUUCACGAUGCAUUCCCACUCAAUGACGACUCGCUUUUUUUAUUUGUUUGGUGAAAAAAAAUUGAUUUUUAGAAAAAGACUUGGAGUCACCACUUAUUUAAUUUUUUUUUAAAAGGGAAAAACAACAUAAGAAAGAAAAACCCUAAUUGUGACUCUUGAAGGAAAAACAAGUUUAUAAAAAACCAAAUCUGGGCUCGAGGGUCAGGUUACUUAUUGGGAAGGUACGAUAAAGAUCGUAGCACCCCUCUAAGUCCCUAAAAACAGGUCUCUACUAAUGAGAUGAAACAAACAUGACAAUUGGUAAGUAAAUCAAUGGAUACCAAAAUGAAAUAAUCAAAUAGUAAAGCGAAUCAUGCAUAAGAAUAAGCAAAGUGGGAAUGAGAUCGUACCUUAGGAGCAAUUAAUAAUGCAAUAUUAUGGAAACAAGGUUAGCUCAAGUAUAAAAUCAUCACAAACAUAUCAAAAAGCAAGACAAAGAUCAAACAAUACUCAUUAAGCAUAAUAGCUGACAAUUAGAAGAAAAAACUCAUAUGUAGGGCCCCUCACCAAAGCGCAAUUUAUUUUGCAUGAAUUAAUAUCACAAAUUCCACUAUUUUGGAAUCAUGAAAAAUUCAUUCAUACUUGUUAAAAAAAAAAAUCAAGAAAACGAAAGAUUAUUUGAAAAUCGAAGAAAAUUUGUGAAUUUAAAAAAAUUGAAAAAUGGAAUGGAAUUAAAACUAUUUGAAAGAAAAUUGGAGUUUUGAAUUAUUUGAAAAUUGAGUCUCGAAAAUUAUUUGAAAAUUGGGGUUUUGAAAAUUAAAUUUAAGAAUUGGAAUUUUGAAAAUUAUUUGACAAUUGGAAUUUUGAGAAUUAAAUUUAAGAAUUAGAAUGUUCGAAAUUAAAUUUUGAAAGAAAUUUGAAUUAUUUGAGGAUUUGAGUUUGAAAUUGGAAUUAUUUGAGGAUUAAAGUUUUGAAAAUUACAUUAAGGAAUUGAAACUUUGGAAACUAAAUUUGAAAUAAAUUAGAAUUUUGAAAAUUAUUUGAGAAUUGGAACUAUGAAAAUUAAAUUAUGAAAAUUGGAAUCUUGGAAAUUAUUUGAAGAUGUAGUUUUUAAAAAUAAAUAAAUAAAAUGAUGAUGACAAUAAUAAUAAUAAUAAUAAAUAAAUGUGAAAAUUGGAAUUUUAGAAAUUGGAAAUUAAAUUUGGAAAUCGGAAUUUUGAAGAAUUAUUUAAAGAUGAAAGUUUUAAAAAUAAACAAAUAAACAAAAUAAUAAUAAUAACGAAAAUAAUGAUGAUUAAAUAAAUAAAUGUGAAAAUUGGAAUUUUGGAAAUUGAAAAUUAAAUUCGGAAAUUGGAAAAUUGGAAUUUCAGAAAUUGAGAAUUAAAUUUGGAAAUUGGAAUUUUGAAGAAUUAUUUAAAGAUGAAAGUUUUAAAAAUAAAUAAAUAAACAAAUAAACAAAAUAAUAAUAAUAACGAAAAUAAUGAUGAUUAAAUAAAUAAAUGUGAAAAUUGGAAUUUUUGAAAUUGAAAAUUGAAUUCGGAAAUUGGAAAAUUGGAAUUUCAGAAAUUGAAAAUUAAAUUUAGAAAUUGGAAUUUUGAAGAAUUAUUUAAAGAUGAAAGUUUUAAAAAUAAAUAAAUAAACAAAAUGAUAAUAAUAACGAAAAUAAUGAUGAUUAAAUAAACAAAUGUGAAAAUUGGAAUUUUGGAAAUUAAAAAAUAAAUUCGGAAAUUUGAAAAUUGGAAUUUCAGAAAUUGAGAAUUAAAUUUGGAAAUCGGAAUUUUUUGAAAUUUUAUUUGAAUAUGGUAUUUCGAAAAAUUAAAUUUUGAAUAUUGAAAUCUGGAAAAUUAUUUUGAGGAAUUAUUUUAAAAAGUAAAUUUGAGAAUAGAAUUUUGGAAUAUUAAAUUUAAAAAAUCGGAAUGUUAGAAAAUUAUUUUGAUAAUGGAAUUUCAGAAAACUAAAUUUCGAAAAUUGGAAUGUUAAAAAAUUAUUCCAAUAUCAAAAUGUGAAGAAAUAAUAAAGAAAGAUGGGUUAUGGUGAUUCUUAGAGCAAAAUUUAUCCAUGUGUUCAAGGUGACAACUAACCCAUUCCAUGUGCUGCCAGCACACCAAAGAAUACCACAAGCCUAUUUCCCAUAUUACAAUAAUGUCAUACAAACCCAUUUUCCAUGUACUACUUGAGAGCAUCACAAACCCAUUUUUUUACAUGAAAAACAAACACCACAUACUACCACCUCUCCACCCAAUCGCCAUUCUCACUACCAUGCACAUGGAGCUUCCAUUUGUUUCAAACUUCUCCCACACCCUCCAUAUUUCUGCACCCCUAUUCCUACCACAUGUUGCCUCUGUCAAGAAGUUAACAACUUGUUUAACAACUUAACAAGUUGUUUAAGUAGUUAACAGUCUGGUUGUUGUAACUAAUUAGAAAGUGGUUAAUAACUGUUUUUUAGAUUCUUGUAUAUAAGAAACAGAGGACCUAACAGUGGGUAGUUUUGCAGUAGCUCAAUUUCAGUUUUUCAUCUUUCUGGUUUUCUCUCAAACAGAUGCUCUGCACAUCUCAUUCUUCAUAUCUCUGAGUUCUUUCUUGGUAUCAGAGCCACAAACUAACAUAUGCAAAUCCUUUUCCAUGGCAUCAAAAGGAUCAGCUUCUUCCACGGAUCAUCCUAACUCCAGUUUUGCUCAUCAUACAAUGCCAUAAUUGAAUCAAGCAUUCACGGUAAGACUCGAUCAAUCAAAUUACUUACUGUGGCGAACUCAGAUGCUGAACAUCAUCAUUGCAAAUGGUCUUGAAGAAAUGAUCCAUGGCAAAAUCCCUGCUCCUUCACGAUUUCUUGGAGAUUCAGAGAACAUAAAUUCAGAAUACAGUAUAUGGCAACGUCAGAAUCGCUUAGUAAUGUGUUGGAUCUAUUCUUCUUUGACAGAAGGUGUGAUGGCACAGAUUAUCGACCUUGAUACUGCAUCAGAAAUCUGGACUGCUCUAGAGAAAAUUUUCUCAGCAGCUUCAAAGGCUCGUAUCAUGCAGUUUCGUUUCCAAUUGUAGAUAACAAAGAAAGGAGGAUUGAGUAUGAUGGAAUAUCUACUCAAAAUCAAGUCCAUUGUAGAUAACCUGCUAGCAAUUAGAGAAAACAUUACAGAGCAAGACCGAAUUCUCUAUUUACUUGCAAGACUCGGAGCAGAGUACAAUUCGUUUGUCAUUACAGUUACCUCUGGGCAUGAACCAUUAAGCCUAGAAGAAAUUCACAGCAUGCUCUUGACUCAUGAAAAUCGAUUGGAACAACAACACACAACAGAAGAAACAAAUCUCCUGCAAGCAAAUAUUACAACAAUGAACAUUCAAGGACACAACAAAAAAAAUCAAAAGUCUGGUCAAUUCAAGACUCAAGGUAGAGGCAAUCAGAAUCAACAACAAUUUAAUCAUCAGAACUUUGGUAGAGGCCGUGGGAGAGGCCACUAUAACAACAAUGGUGGAAAUUUUGGACAUGGUCCAGGAAGAGGUAGCUUUAACAACCAUUCUUACUCAUCUGGAAACUUCAAUAAUGUUUCUGGUGGCAGCAAUGGAAAACCACAGUGCCAAGUAUGUGGUAAAUAUGGUCACAUUGCAAUUAAUUGCUAUCAUAGAUUUGAUCAAACUUAUCAACCAACAAUGAGCAAUCAUCUUGCUGCAAUGGUUGCAACUCCGUCCACUGUUGGAGAUGAAAGCUGGUACAUGGAUACCGGAGCUACGCAUCACCUAACUCCAAAUCUCAACAAAUUGAAUUCACAUACUCCAUUUGCUGGUUCAGACAAAGUCAUGGUUGGAAAUGGUAAUCGUUUAAAUAUCUCAAAUAUUGGACACUCCACUAUUUCUUCAACUUCUCGGUCUUUAAAUCUAAAAAAUAUUUUACAUGUUCCACAACUUACAACCAAUCUGAUAAGUGUGAAUAGGUUGUGUACUGACAAUAAUGUCACUGUGGAAUUCUUUACUAAUGGAUUUGUGGUGAAGGAUUAAGCUUUGAAGAAGGCUCUUCUCCAAGGCAACCUUAACUAUGGCUUAUACAAACUGUCGUCUUCAGCACCUAGUAGAAGAUAUCAAGAUCCUGAUGAUAAUAAACUUGCUGGAAGAACAAGCUUGACAACUGAGGUCCCAUGUAUGUCAUCUACAUUACAACUUUCCAAUAAGGCAGAUCUAUGGCAUUUCAGGUUAGGCCAUCUUGCACGUAAAAUAGUCAAUAAAGUUCUGAGUGCUUGUAGCUUGCCCCUAGAACAUUGGACAGGUGUUUGUGAACCUUGUCAAAUGGCAAAGAGCCAUCGCCUACCUUUUACUUUGUCUGAAUCCAGAGCAUCUCAGCCUUUUGCUCUUGUACAUUCUGAUCUAUGGGGUCCUGCUCCUGUUGUUGGUACUAAUGGUGCAAGAUACUUUGUGCUCUUUGUGGAUGAUCAUACAAGAUUUUCUUGGUUGUAUCUACUAGCUUCUAAAGAUCAAGCUAUCUCUGCAUUUUUGCAAUUUAAAGUGAUGAUUGAGACUCAAUUUGAUACUAAAGUUAGAAUGCUUCAAACUGAUUGGGGAGGAGAGUUUCAAGCCUUUACUAAUACUUUGUGUAAGUUUGGGAUUCUGCAUAGAGUAUCUUGUCCAUCCACUUCUCAACAAAAUGGCCAUGUGGAGAGAAAACAUAGACAUGUGGUUGAAGUAGGCCUUUCCUUGCUUGCUCAUGCUUCCAUUCCUCUUAAAUAUUGGCCUUUUGCCUUCCAAUCUGCUUUAUAUUUGAUUAAUAGACUUCCUUCCUCUGUGCUGAACUUUUCUUCUCCAUAUAAGACUCUUUACCAUUGUCUACCAAAUUAUUCUUUUCUUCGUGUUUAUGGUUGCACUGGUUAUCCUUUUCUUCGCCCUUUUAAUCGCCAUAAAUUUGCAUAUCGAUUAGUUAAAUGCACCUUUAUUGGCUACAACUCUAAGCAUAAAGGAUAUCUCUGUUUAAACAUGUCCAAUGGAAAAAUACAUAUAUUACGACAUGUUAUUUUUUAUGAACUAGAUUUCCCGUUUGCUAAGCCCUCUACAGUUUAGCCUCCUUGUCGUGUUUCCCCCACUCAUUGUGCCAUUCCUUUAGCAGCACCAAUCACUCCAAUAUCUUCCCUCUUGCCUUCCUCAUCCAGUCCAUCUUCAGAGUUGGUUCCAAUCUCUGAUACUAGUGUGUCAAUUUCCUCUUCUGAGGUUGCACCUAUUCCAACAGCUCAACCUUCUUCCUCUCAUGUUCCUUCUCCUUGUCAUCCCAUGACAACGCGUGCCAAAAAUGGCAUCUUCAAGCCUAAGAUAUUUGUGUCUCCUACUGAGACUAUUUUUCAUCCACUUUGUGAACCGAAUUCUUUCAAGGAAGCUGUUAAAGUUCCUGAAUGGCAGCAAGCUAUGCACCUUGAAUUUGAAGCUCUCAUGAGCAAUAAAACAUGGGUCUUGGUCCCUCCUCCACCUAAUCAGAAUAUUAUUGGAUGUCGCUGGGUUUAUAAAUUGAAGUAUAAACCUGAUGGAACUGUUGAACGCUAUAAGGCACGUUUGGUGGCGAAAGGAUUUCAUCAAACUCCCGGUUUUGACUACUUUGAAACCUUCAGUCCCGUGGUUAAACCCACUACUAUUCGUGUGGUUCUCUCUUUGGCAUUAAGUAAAAACUGGUCUAUCAGACAACUUGAUGUUCAUAAUGCAUUUCUUAAUGGUGAUUUAUCUGAGCAAGUUUUUAUGACACAACCCCCAAGCUUUGUGGAUCCCUCUAAGCCCAACUUUGUUUGUAAACUUACCAAGGCAUUGUAUGGUUUGAAGCAAGCUCCACGUGCUUGGUUCACCAAACUCAGCUCCGCCUUAGUUAAAUGGGGUUUUUCCAUGUCACAAGCAGAUACAUCAAUGUUUGUUUACUGUAACAAUUCUGCCAUGCUUGUUGUCUUGGUUUAUGUUGAUGAUAUUAUUGUCACUGGCUCAAGUUCCUUGCUCAUUGAACAACUUAUAUCCUCCUUAAACUCUUGCUUUGCUCUCAAGGAUCUUGGUCCUCUCAACUUUUUUCUUGGAAUAGAGGUGCUCCAUUCUGGAUCUUCUUUGCAUUUAAGUCAAGCUAAAUAUAUCUGUGAUCUUCUUCAACGUGCUGGUUUGUCUGAAUCAAAGUCCAUGGCUUCCCCAAUGGCUGCUGGUCCUGUUCUCUCCAUAGCUGAUGGCACCAGAUUAGAAGAUCCCACCUUGUACCGGAGUCUUAUGGGUGCCCUGCAGUAUAAGCAAUCCAACCUCUACUCAUCUUCAAGCCGUGAAACGUGUCCUUUGUUAUCUCAAAGGUUCAUUGUUUUAUGGGCUUUCCUUCCAACCAUCUUCCUUCCUUGAUCUUAUUGCCUAUACAGCUGAUGAUAGACGUAGCACCAGUGGCUACUGCAUAUUUUUUGGAGGCAAUCUAGUCUCUUGGUUAGCCUCUAAACAAAAGGUGAUUUCUCGCUCCAGUACUGAAUCCGAAUAUAGGGGCUUGGCUAACGCAGCAGCUGAACUCACUUGGAUCCAGUCUCUGCUUAAAGAACUCUUUGUUCCCCUGUUUCAGCCUCCUGUUCUUUAUUGUGAUAAUCUCAGCACUACUUAUUUAGCUGCAAAUCCUAUCCUUCAUUAUUGGGCUAAACAUGUGGAAAUUGAUUAUCAUUUUGUUCGUGAACGAGUCUUGCAAAAAACUCUUGAUGUUCGAUUUCUCCCAUCUGAAGAUCAAGUUGCUGAUAUCUUGACCAAAGCUCUUUCAACUCAACGUUUUCUUCAUCUCCGAAGCAAGCUCACAGUUCUUUCUCGCCCUGUGUGCUUGAGGGGGGAUGUCAAGAAGUUAACAGCUUGUUUAACAACUUAACAA